ACGGGUGAGUAACACGUAUCCAACCUGCCGUCUACUCUUGGACAGCCUUCUGAAAGGAAGAUUAAUACAAGAUGGCAUCAUGAGUCCGCAUGUUCACAUGAUUAAAGGUAUUCCGGUAGACGAUGGGGAUGCGUUCCAUUAGAUAGUAGGCGGGGUAACGGCCCACCAAGCCUUCGAUGGAUAGGGGUUCUGAGAGGAAGGUCCCCCACAUUGGAACUGAGACACGGUCCAAACUCCUACGGGAGGCAGCAUG
rnacentral:rRNA from 1 species